UCCGGAGGGUGCAAGCGUUAUCCGGAUUCACUGGGUUUAAAGGGUGCGUAGGUGGGCAGGUAAGUCAGUGGUGAAAUCUCCGGGCUUAACUCGGAAACUGCCAUUGAUACUAUCUGUCUUGAAUACCGUGGAGGUUAGCGGAAUAUGUCAUGUAGCGGUGAAAUGCUUAGAUAUGACAUAGAACACCAAUUGCGAAGGCAGCUGGCUACACGAAUAUUGACACUGAGGCACGAAAGCGUGGGGAUCAAACAGG
rnacentral:rRNA from 1 species